rnacentral:rRNA from 1 species
CCUACGGGAGGCAGCAGUGGGGAAUGUUGCGCAAUGCUCGGAAGAGUGACGCAGCGACGCCGCGUGAAUGACGAAGGCCUUCGGGUCGUAAAGUUCUUUCGACAGGGAAGAAAAUGCCUAUAAGUAACUGUGGAUGUAUUGACGGUACCGGUAUAAGCAGCCCCGGCUAACUCCGUGCCAGCAGCCGCGGUAAUACGGAGGGGGCGAGCGUUGUUCGGAGUGACUGGGCGUAAAGAUCACGUAGGCGGUGUUGUACGUCAUGAGUGAAAGACUAGCGCUCAACUUUAGUAAGGCUAGUGAUACUCUCAUACUAUAGUAUCAGAGAGGAUUGCCGAAUUCCUGGUGUAGCGGUUA